AUCAUGUGCCUUCCUCAAGCUUCUUCCGAUCAUCCUACAAAGUGUCCCAGGAAGAGUAUACUAAACAAAGGGAAAAGUAGCAUCAUGUGAACAGUUUGGAUGUGAAGGUGGCAGAGCAGAAAUGUGGAACAGAUCACAGCAUGCCUCAGGUUCCCCAGAUAUCUCCACUACUUAGCAAACAUAAGGGUGUGAAGGUCUCUGAGGAUGAAGCAUCACAACUGGGAGCAGACUCUGAGGAAGUGGAUGGCACCAACAAAUC